UAGGGAAUCUUCCGCAAUGGACGCAAGUCUGACGGAGCAACGCCGCGUGAGUGAAGAAGGAUUUCGGUUCGUAAAACUCUGUUGUUAGAGAAGAACAGCGCAUAGAGUAAAUGUUAUGCGUGUGACGGUAUCUAACCAGAAAGCCACGUCUAACUACGUGCCAGCAGCCGCGGUAAUACGUAGGUGGCAAGCGAUGUCCGGAUUUAUUGGGCGUAAAGCGAGCGCAGGCGGUCAAUUAAGUCUGAUGUGAAAACCCCCGGCUCAACCGGGGAGGGUCAUUGGAAACUGGUUGACUUGAGUGCAGAAGGGGAGAGUGUAAUUCCAUGGGUAGCGGUGAAAUGCGUAGAUAUAUGGAGGAAAACCAGUGGCGAAGGCGACUCUCUGGUCUGUAACUGACGCUGAGGUUCGAAAGCGUGGGUAGCAAACAGG
rnacentral:rRNA from 1 species